rnacentral:rRNA from 1 species
GAUGAACGCUGGCGGCGUGCCUAAUACAUGCAAGUCGAGCGAACAGACGAGGAGCUUGCUCCUCUGACGUUAGCGGCUGACGGGUGAGUAACACGUGGAUAACCUACCUAUAAGACUGGGAUAACUUCGGGAAACCGGAGCUAAUACCGGAUAAUAUAUUGAACCGCAUGGUUCAAUAGUGAAAGACGGUUUUGCUGUCACUUAUAGAUGGAUCCGCGCCGCAUUAGCUAGUUGGUAAGGUAACGGCUUACCAAGGCGACGAUGCGUAGCCGACCUGAGAGGGUGAUCGGCCACACUGGAACUGAGACACGGUCCAGACUCCUACGGGAGGCAGCAGUAGGGAAUCUUCCGCAAUGGGCGAAAGCCUGACGGAGCAACGCCGCGUGAGUGAUGAAGGUCUUCGGAUCGUAAAACUCUGUUAUUAGGGAAGAACAAAUGUGUAAGUAACUAUGCACGUCUUGACGGUACCUAAUCAGAAAGCCACGGCUAACUACGUG